AGCCAUGCGAGUCGAGAGGUGCAAGACCUCGGCAUACUGCUCAGUAACACGUGGACAAUCUAACCUAAGGAAGAGGAUAACCCCGGGAAACUGGGGAUAAUACUCUAUAGACUAUGGAUGCUGGAAUGCUUUGUAGUCGAAAGGUGAGCCGCCUUAGGAUGGGUCUGCGGCCGAUUAGGUUGUUGUUGGGGUAACGGCCCAACAAGCCUGUAAUCGGUACGGGUUGUGGGAGCAAGAGCCCGGAGAUGGAUUCUGAGACACGAAUCCAGGCCCUACGGGGCGCAGCAGGCGCGAAAACUUUACAAUGCGGGAAACCGUGAUAAGGGAACUCCGAGUGCCCGUAAAAUCGGGCUGUCCAUUUGUUUAAAAAACAAGUGAAGAAAGGGCCGGGCAAGACCGGUGCCAGCCGCCGCGGUAAUACCGGCGGCUCGAGUGGUGGCCACUAUUACUGGGCUUAAAGCGUUCGUAGCUGGUUUGUUAAGUCUCUGGGGAAAUCUUCCGGCUUAACCGGAAGGCGUCUCAGGGAUACUGGCAGACUAGGGACCGGGAGAGGUGAGGGGUACUCCAGGGGUAGGAGUGAAAUCCUGUAAUCCUUGGGGGACCACCUGUGGCGAAGGCGCCUCACCAGAACGGCUCCGACAGUGAGGGACGAAAGCUGGGGGAGCAAACCGGAUUAGAUACCCGGGUAGUCUCAGCUGUAAACGAUGUGCGUUAGGUGUAUCGGUGACCACGAGUCACCGAGGUGCCGAAGAGAAAUCGUGAAACGUACCGCCUGGGAAGUACGGUCGCAAGGCUGAAACUUAAAGGAAUUGGCGGGGGAGCACCACAACGGGUGGAGCCUGCGGUUUAAUUGGACUCAACGCCGGGAAG
rnacentral:rRNA from 1 species